rnacentral:rRNA from 1 species
CCUACGGGUGGCAGCAGUGAGGAAUAUUGCACAAUGGGCGAAAGCCUGAUGCAGCAACGCCGCGUGAGUGAUGAAGGCCUUCGGGAUGUUAAGCUCUUUCCUCAGGGAAGAAAAUGACGGUACUUGAGUAGGAAGCCCCGGCUAACUACGUGCCAGCAGCCGCGGUAAUACGUAGGGGGCUAGCGUUAUCCGGAUUUACUGGGCGUAAAGGGUGCGUAGGGGGAGUCUUAAGUCAGAGGUGAAAGGCUGCGGCUCAACCGUGGUAAGCCUUUGAAACUGGUGAACUUGAGUGCAGGAGAGGAGAGUGGAAUUCCUAGUGUAGCGGUGAAAUGCGUAGAUAUUAGGAGGAACACCAGUUGCGAAGGCGGCUUACUGGACUGUAACUGACGCUGAGGCACGAAAGCGUGGGGAGCAAACAGGAUUAGAUACCCUUGUAGUC